rnacentral:lncRNA from 1 species
UUACAAGUGAAGCUGUCCUACAAGGUCAAUGAUGUAAUGGCAUGUAUUAGCUGAAUCUAAAGUUGAUGUGAGUUCUAAAAUUACACUGAGACCUUGGAGGGUAAAAUUUUUAUCUUCAGUAUGUGUAAAUACUGUAAAAUAGCUAAAUGGAGCUAUUUGAUUUUGAUAUUAGUGAACAUCUACCUGGUGGUUUAAAGUCUUUCUGGUACUACUGGGUGCUGAGAUGGGAAGAUCAGGACUUUGUGUGGAUGUGAGUUAGUAUACUUGAGUAUCUUGGAAUGCCAAGUUAAAAUUUAUAUGUAGAAAAUUAUACUUUAAAGAUUUGAGUUUUCUUGAUACUAUCUAAUUUUAUUCAAUAACAGGAGAGUCUGCAUAUUUGAGAAAAGGUUAUAUACACAGAGACAAAAGGAUGUGCUUGACAACUUAAAAAGAGUUGAGCAUAAGAUCAUUAGAAUAAACCUGAAAGGGACAUUUACCUAAUACUUGUCUUUAUUGCAGAUUCUUACGCUGUAUGACAGUAUUAAUGUUAUUGACGUAAAUAAAGUUGUGGAAUAUGUUAAAGGUCUACAGAAAGAAGAUGGUUCUUUUGCUGGAGAUAUUUGGGGUAAUGUCAGAUUUAGUCCAUUCUACCCAAAAUACCAAUAUUAAAAUGUACUGGUUUUGCUAGUAACCAGUUUAUAAGUUUUUCAUCUUUUCAGGUCCCACUAAGCAGCUGGUCUAACUGGAGUUAAUGGUCUGCUGGAACUUCCAGCAUGCACUGUGGUAGUUAUAUCAGCAUAUACAGGAGCACUGGAACAGAGGGGGCCAGUCUAAAAGAUAAGGGAUGAACACAGUGCAGGCCAGAGAGACCAGCUGCUUCAUGGGAUGUGAAAAAUCUACUUUUAUAAAGUAGGGAGAAAUUGACACAAGAUUCUCUUUUUGUGCGGUGGCAACUUUGGCUUUGUUGGGGAAGCUUGAUGCUAUUAAUGUGGAAAAGGCAAUCGAAUUUGUUUUAUCCUGUAUGAACUUUGACGGUGGAUUUGGUUGCAGACCAGGUUCUGAAUCCCAUGCUGGGCAGGAUUUCUGGCAAUUACAAGUCAGUUGCAUCAAGUAAAUUCUGAUUUACUUGGCUGGUGGCUUUGUGAACGACAAUUACCCUCAGGCGGGCUCAAUGGAAGGCCGGAGAAGUUACCAGAUGUAUGCUACUCAUGGUGGGUCCUGGCUUCCCUAAAGAUAAUUGGAAGACUUCAUUGGAUUGAUAGAGAGAAACUGCGUAAUUUCAUUUUAGCAUGUCAAGAUGAAGAAACGGGGGGAUUUGCAGACAGGCCAGGAGAUAUGGUGGAUCCUUUUCAUACCUUAUUUGGAAUUGCUGGAUUGUCACUUUUGGGAGAAGAACAGAUUAAACCUGUUAAUCCUGUCUUUUGCAUGCCUGAAGAAGUGCUUCAGAGAGUGAAUGUUCAGCCUGAGCUAGUGAGCUAGAUUCAUUGAAUUGAAAGUUGCAUAGUAUAGUUUUGCCAUUUUAACAUUUCUGUAUUUGAAGUGCUUAUCGAAUCUAAAAGUGACUACUGUUAAUAUUUUGUAUAUUGUGUUAAAUUAAUUUUAAUAAAUUAUAUAAUUAUACAUAUUGUAAAAUAAAGACCGGUAUUUUAUUUUCUGCUUUUUAUUCUGAAGUCCUGUUAUUCUGACUACAGUUCUUUGUGUAUACUUCUGUGUCUGUUAUGUUCAAUAACUGAGCUAACAUAAAAUAACUCUAGGUUUCUACUUGAUUUUUCCCCCAUGUAUACCUUUCAUCUGUUCUAUAGCAAGUUGAUGUAAAUUGGUUUGUCAACAAGAAUGUUAACUGAUGAAAGUGGAUAGAACCCAUACAUGAAUUAAAUGAUGCACAAAAUAAAUGGCUGUUGAAAUUUGG